GGGUGCAUAGCGCAGUGGUAGCGCGCAUGCUUUGCAGGCGCUUAUGUAAUAUGUGUACAUAAGCAAUCGUGUAUGAGGUCCAGGGUUCAAUCCCCUGUGCAUCCA